CACGACUGUGGCAGUGUGGCCCUGAAACUACUGCAGCCUCCGGCUUUGCAGGAACAUAAUAUUGGAGUCACAAGAGUUGCUGGCUGUGGGGCAGGGGCAUAUAAAAAAGCAUGUCGAAAGUGUUUUUAUAAUCACUCUCAUCUAAGGUUAAACACGUAGUCUGCCCUGGAAGUAAGCUGCUGUAGCCCACAAACCCAUACACUGGUCUACACCUACACAUUUUAACAGCCAAACUCAGGCUAUCUCCCUAUCUAGCUCUCUAAUAUCUAUUAUCUUUAUCGAUUUCUUUAUUAACCCUUCUAUCUAUUCUGUGUACUUGUCUAUAUUAACCUGUGUUUGUUAUUCUGUUUGUCAGUCUGUCUGUAAUCCCUUUUUCCAUCAUGCCACGUGGGUCUACAAAAAAGACAUGUCCCUUCUGUCUGGGCAUUUUAUUUUGUGCUCAGAAGAUCUGUGCACAUUGCCUUAAGGAGCAGCCGAAAAAGCAGCGCCUUGAGAAGAAGCUCAAGAGGUUUGAUGAGAAGCGAAAGGAAUGGGUGUCAGGGCGGAAGAAGAACAACAACAUUGGGUCCAUCAAGGAUGAAGCCAUUAUCUUGCUUGAGAAACUCCAUGCCAUUGGCUUUAAACCAGUGCUGCUUCUUUGCAAGAAAACCAAGAAGAAGGAAAAAAAAUGUGAAAUACUAACCCCUCGCUGCACGCUGACCGCCUAUGCCCAGGACUACCUUGAGAAGAUCGGCACUAUUUAUGAGUUUUUUUGUAAAGGUUGGACACAGGACUCCACUGGCCAGGGGGUUAAGGAAGAUCCUGAUGAAGAGAGAGUCACGCUGAACAUCACACCCUGUGACCCAUCGGAACCAACAAACAACUGGCAGGAGGCAGGGACCACAGAGAGCCAGGUGCUGGAGACGAGCAUCGUGCAGGUGGAGGUGCUAAAGACCCCCCCCGUGAAGCAGUGCACCACCACAGAGGUGGGGCAGGAGGAGCCGUACCAGCAGGAUAUGGAGGUUGAGCAAGCUACAGAAAAUGUGACACAGGUUACCAUCACGGAGGGGCCAGGCUCAGCAGUGGUAUGGCCAUUCAAACAAGCAUCCCAUUUUAGGACUGAGAGCAUCUUGGUUCCAUUUCAAUGAUGUUUCCACUUUUGACCAGUGAUUUCAUCGUAUUGCUCCUACCACACUCACCUAGAAGCUUUCCCCAUCAGGAGUGUAAUAAGAGAAAGAAUGAGAAAGGGAGAAGCAGAAAUGUUGGUGGAGUGGGAGCCCUGUCCAGUAUGUGGCAAGGAGUGGGCUCAUUCCUGGCAGUUGAAGAAUUCUCUGGAAUAAUGCAAACAAAUAAAAUCUAUUAUUUG